GGAAAAAGUUACAGAUGCCCACAAAAAUCUGCAGCAUGCAUGGUAAUGAAGUAUAAUGUCUACAACCAAAAACGUUUGAAUUACACAAUGGGAACCAAACAUGGGAAACGUACGCUUAAACAAUCUCAAGUAAAAUUACGGUUUCACAUCCAUUCAAUCUCAAGACAGCUUGCUUCUCACAGCAUUUGUGACUAAUCUUGCCCCUCCUGUGAAGGCUGAGCCUCUGUGAUUUUUGGAGAUGCGAAUUUUGUGGUGGAACCUUCAAAUAAUGAAUUACAAUCCGUGUAUGCUGAUCCAAUGCCCAAUCCAGCACCAAAAGCUAUAGAUGCCCAACGAGUCACCGGACUCCUGAAGAAAAGGAGGCCACCAAAUGCACCAGCCAAGGAAGAGUAAACGAAUCGACGGAGCGUCAAAUCAAGACAAGCGUCCCACUUGGCAUUCAAAUCGUGCGGUGGAGACACAACCCCUUUGUUCUCAGCAAAACCUUUGUUCUCAGCCAUAUCCAGAAAGGAACCGUCAGACAGACGCUAUCAAGGGAUAAGGUUGUAUUGUAUGAUAUCUU
rnacentral:misc_RNA from 1 species